GCAGAGGGAGAAGGAGACACAGAAUCCAAAGCAGGCUCCAGGCUCUGAGCUGUCAGCGCAGAGCUUGACACGGGGCCUCUAACUCAAGAACCGUGAGAUCAUGGCCUGAGCCGAAGUGGGAGCCUUAACCGACUGAGCCACCCAGGCACCUCUUAUUCUUUAAUAUUUAAUUUCAUGGUGGGGUGAGUGGAGCUGAACGAUUGGGGGAAAAUGUCUAAAAAGGCCCUUGAGGGAGAGAGAAUGAAAAAAAGUUUGAGAAACAGCUGCUCUACUUCUUAGAAAAGAAUUUGUCAGAUGUGUAUUAUGUAUUACGAUUCACAAAUGAGUUAGGAAACACUUAAUUAGGUAGAACGUGGUGGGACAAGAGAACAGAAGCCUUGGUGUAUCCCAGACUAAAGGAUGAGAGGGGAAUUUUGGGUUCUGCAUUUAACUACCCCAUAAAUGAGUUGAGCUUUCCCAUACACCUGUGAAAAUUGUUAUCAAGUAGCCCUGCACUGAUCAAGUUCUUAGGGUUUCAUAUUUUAUUUAAAAAACCCCUUUGCAUAGCAGGUUUUUAAAUUUUUACUUAUUCGCUUUGUGGGUGGUUAAAAGUAGCACUGAGGUCCCUAUCUCCUGCAGCUCUGGGAAAAAGUUAGCAACGGAGAGUCAAAAAGUCCUAUUGGAUACAUCCAGACAAGGUUUGGUUAGAAAUACAUUUACUUGGGCUUUCCAGGGGAUGGGUUUUGGGCAAGUGGUACCCCAUUUGAUAGCUGGAGGCUCUCUAAUUCAUUGUUAUCUUUUGCACCUCGUGCUCUUUGAGCCCGGGAGCCCAAGGAGCCUCCCUGAAACCCGCCAACUACAAAAAUGGCAGCCCUCCACUGGUGCAGGUGACAAGCUGCAGGCGCAGGCCGGGCACAGGCCAGGCAUGAUGCACCGGAACCCUCAUUCUGGCCUCGCUUCUGCGCCAGGUGUGCUACGACCAAAACAAGGCCCGCGGCCUUGCGCAGCCUCACUAGCCAAUGGUUUUCCUUCUUGAGGCCUCAGCCAGCUUUUCUGCGGUUUUCCUCCAUUCUCUUCAUCUGCCUCUUGAGGGGGCGGCCAUGAGCUGGGCUGUGGGAGUUCUGUAGAUGAGCUGCAGCGUGGUCGCCGCGGGAGUGAAUUUCUUUUGCCUGAGGAUGGCUCUGUGUCCCUUGCAGCCUGCACACAUCCCUGUCAGAGGUGGCUCGCCCUCUCACCUGCGUGAAUGUGGCCGGAAUUACUGCGUGCUUGGCAGUCCUCGGCCCUGGACUUACGGAGUCUGGGCUGGGUUCUGGAGCCAAGAGCUGGGCGAGGGGGAAAACUGGGGUGGUGAGGGGAGGAAGAGCUGUCCUGACUGUCGUGUCACUUUUGGUGAAGCCGCCCCUUUGCCUUCACUAAUUCUUAAUCCCUCUUAACUGUUCCACGCUCCUCUUCCUUCCCUUGGUUUACCUCUGGAUGCUGGGUGGCUGGCUAGAAACUACCCAGCUUCUUUGCUAGUCAGUUUUGUCAUUCCCUGUUGGGUCUGCAGCACCUCCUUCCCCCAGGGGACCCGGGAGUUUUCUAUAUGCCCACUCUCACUGCACACCAAAUUUGGAAGUGGCUUUGCAGUUUUUCCUCACUCUGUUAGGUUUCCAAGAUGGCAACUAUCAAGGUGAACUUCUUAAGAAUUUCACUUCAGAGGAGGCCAUUCAUCACAAUAAGAUCUCCAUUAUAGGAACUGGAUCGCUUGGAACAGCCUGUAUAAUCAGCAUCUUACUAAAAAUUACCCUGUCAAUGUAAACUCCAACGUAGGGAUUAUCACAGCAGGUGCACGCUAGAUAAAAGGAGGAGAAACACACCUUGAUUUAGUCUAGCGAAAUGUGUCCAUGUUUAAAUGAAUGGUUCCCAGUAUUAUCCAAUAUAGUCACCACUGCAAACUGAUUAUUGUUUCCAAUCCAGUGGGUAUCUUAACUUAGGUAGCUUGGAAGUUGAGUGCAUUUCCCCAAAACCGUGUUAUUGGGAAUGACUGUAAUCUGGACACUGCCCAUUUCUGUAUCUUGAUUGGGCAGAGGCUUGGCAUCCAUUCUGAAAGCUGUCGUGGGUUGGUGUUUGGAGAGCAUGGAGACUUGAGUGGUAAGCCUAAAAGCACCACUGAGCUGUGCAUUCUCUGAAAGAUAUUUAUACUAUGUUGAUCAUAGAGAUAGUUCAUCAUAAAGUAAAAUAGCUCCUGAGUGGGGGAAAAAGCACUUUGAUUCCACUCUAGACCCUC